AGAUUUUAUUGUAGUUAAACACUGGACGUUCCGGGCUUUGCCCCCCCCUCCUCCCCUAGAUCCGAUAUAUGACUUUCAUUACGGAUGACCCAGUCUUACUUGAGUUAUGAUUUGUUUUUGGCAGCCGAGGAGCAGAUAAGGCUUGUAUAGGCUCAUUUGGAAAGCAGUGUUCCUCCUUGUGUAAUCCCGGAAGUUGUGGGUUUGGCUGUAAAAACACAUGUCUGUGUGAGGAUUGUGACAGACUCAACUGUUCUUGCUUUACAGCAGAUACAUGGGAUUCUCGUGAUGAUGUGCAACUUAUAAUCGUAGUUUCGAGUGGAUUUUGUUUUGUGGCUGUCGUGACGUUGACUGGUUACAUAAUUAGGCGAUGUUCAACAAAGGCAAGCAGGAGGAAAGGCAAACAGUUUCGCCGAGAGUACACAUCAGGACAUACCUCGGCAUCUGUUUCUGAUACAGAACAGGAAGCACACCGACAGACAGACAGACAAACUAGACAGGAAACACUGCAAUCUGGAAACACCACACCGAAAAAUCGCCACGGCUGGGAGACGAACAAAAGCAUCUGUAUGUUUGAAUACGAUCUCGGUCAACACCUUGAGAAUUAAAUAUGCAGACUGCCUUAAUUUCAUUCGUUUAUGUACUGUAACAAUGCGUCAUUCUGCAUUGUAAUGAUGGAAUCAUUCUAUAGAAUAUUUCGACUUCAAGUAGACAUUUUAUACUUUUAAGAUAUUAUUUUGUUAUAAUUCUAAUAUGUAUAAAUCAUAAAACUCUUA